rnacentral:tRNA from 1 species
UGCGGGAUCGUCUAACGGUAGGACGUUCGCCUUUGAAGCGAAAAAUUUUGGUUCGAUUCCAAGUCCCGCAG